rnacentral:rRNA from 1 species
UACGGAGGGUGCAAGCGUUAUCCGGAUUUACUGGGUUUAAAGGGUGCGUAGGUGGUUUGGUAAGCGAUAUGUGAAAUCCCCGGGCUUAACCCCGGAAUUGCACCUCAAACUACAUGGCUAGAGCAUUGGAGAGGGUAGCGGAAUUCACGGUGUAGCAGUGAAAUGCGUAGAUAUCGUGAGGAACACCAGAGGCGAAGGCGGCUACCUGGACAAUUGCUGACGCUCAGGCACGAAAGCGUGGGGAGCAAAAGGG